rnacentral:rRNA from 1 species
UACGUAGGGCGCAAGCGUUAUCCGGAAUUAUUGGGCGUAAAGAGCUCGUAGGCGGUUUGUCGCGUCUGCCGUGAAAGUCCGGGGGCUCAACUCCGGAUCUGCGGUGGGUACGGGCAGACUAGAGUGAUGUAGGGGAGACUGGAAUUCCUGGUGUAGCGGUGAAAUGCGUAGAUAUCUGGAGGAACACCGGUGGCGAAGGCGGCAUCCUGGACCGACACUGACGCUGAGGAGCGAAAAGCCAGGGGGAGCAAACGGG